UACGAAGGGGGCUAGCGUUGUUCGGAAUUACUGGGCGUAAAGCGCACGUAGGCGGAUCGAUCAGUCAGGGGUGAAAUCCCAGGGCUCAACCCUGGAACUGCCUUUGAUACUGUCGAUCUGGAGUGUGGAAGAGGUGAGUGGAAUUCCGAGUGUAGAGGUGAAAUUCGUAGAUAUUCGGAGGAACACCAGUGGCGAAGGCGGCUCACUGGUCCAUUACUGACGCUGAGGUGCGAAAGCGUGGGGAGCAAACAGG
rnacentral:rRNA from 1 species